UGUUUGGAACAUUGCAUCUUUUAUUAUCCUAGUGUCAUUUAACUCUCAGCAUGAUGCCUUACACCUUAGUAUGGGUAGUGCAGUGCUCUCUUGGUCUGGUUCUUUCCUUUGACCUGCCUGCCAUGGGAAAUGCUAUCAGUAGCAAAGCUAACACCAGCAAAGUUGUCAGGAUCAUUGGAACACACAAGCUCCCUUAUCACAGCAAGGUAGAGAUACCAGCAAGGAAGUUGUUAGGAAUAAGUAUAAAGCUUAGUCGAAACCAAUCAAUAAUCAUUGGAAACUGUUUGUUGUUGAAUAUGCAACAGUUGUGGACAUUGGCUGAAACAUCAGUUGAUGAAUGUCAAUGAUAACUGUUUCAUGUCCAGACUAAAUUCAGUAGAGAAUAUAGAUCUGCAGACUGUAGCUGGCGUUAGUGCUGAGUCUAUUGUAAUAUCUUCCCAAAAAAAAAGCAGUUAAUGGAAGAAAAACAUUUUGUGAAAUAGGGAACAUUGAGAUGACAGUUUAUCAUCAGUUGAAAUUAAAUGAUAGAAGUUCAUUUAGAAAAUUUUUUGAUCACAUUUUUACUGUGAAACUAUAUUAAACAACAGGGUUGUGCAAAGGUACAUGUGACCUUGAAGCAAAGCAAGUAAAGAUGCCACCUUUAUUUAUUUUGAAACAAAUAAAUUAAUAAAAAGGAACAUAAAUUUAUUAUAUUGUAAUAAGUACACUAUUUUAUUUAUUAAACCAUUUUAUAUCUUAUUAAAUUCCAGGGCUCUUACCUCGGAGGUACAAAACAGUGCAUCCAGUGCACCCUCAAUUUGCAUUCAUAUUUUUUUAUACAGUAUACAUGCAUACGUAUAUACACUUUACUUUUUAUAAAACAUAGUAGGCAAUUUUAUUAAUCUUAUUAACUUGUUGUCUUAUUGUUGAUUACAUCUAGACUGAAUGAAUGUGUCCUGUUUUAUGUGGGAGACAAGCAGAUAAUAACAUUCUAUGAAGUAAACUGCUGAUGAGUUGUUUGAGUCUGAGUCACCUAGAAAUGUUUUUGGGGAAACUAUUACUGACAUUGCUAAUGACUCUCAACUCUCCACAGAUUAUUUCUUGGUUUGGACAAGAAAUAAUCUGUGGUCAUAUUAUCUGUUAAUACAAAUGUAAUAAAUUUAUUGAAAAAUUUUUUCUUAAAAUCAAUUUGAAAAGGUGGCAUCUUUAACUUCUAUACAGCAUUUAAAAAUUUAAAUAGUAUACUGGAC
rnacentral:lncRNA from 1 species